rnacentral:rRNA from 1 species
UGCUCUGUGGAUCAGUGGCGAACGGGUGAGUAACACGUGAGCAACCUGCCCCUGACUCUGGGAUAAGCGCUGGAAACGGCGUCUAAUACUGGAUAUGAGCUGCGAUCGCAUGGUCAGCAGUUGGAAAGAUUUUUCGGUCUGGGAUGGGCUCACGGCCUAUCAGCUUGUUGGUGAGGUAAUGGCUCACCAAGGCGUCGACGGGUAGCCGGCCUGAGAGGGUGACCGGCCACACUGGGACUGAGACACGGCCCAGACUCCUACGGGAGGCAGCAGUGGGGAAUAUUGCACAAUGGGCGAAAGCCUGAUGCAGCAACGCCGCGUGAGGGAUGACGGCCUUCGGGUUGUAAACCUCUUUUAGCAGGGAAGAAGCGAAAGUGACGGUACCUGCAGAAAAAGCGCCGGCUAACUACGUGCCAGCAGCCGCGGUAAUACGUAGGGCGCAAGCGUUAUCCGGAAUUAUUGGGCGUAAAGAGCUCGUAGGCGGUUUGUCGCGUCUGCUGUGAAAUCCCGAGGCUCAACCUCGGGUCUGCAGUGGGUACGGGCAGACUAGAGUGCGGUAGGGGAGAUUGGAAUUCCUGGUGUAGCGGUGGAAUGCGCAGAUAUCAGGAGGAACACCGAUGGCGAAGGCAGAUCUCUGGGCCGUUACUGACGCUGAGGAGCGAAAGGGUGGGGAGCAAACAG